rnacentral:rRNA from 1 species
AGAGAAAUUUGGAUUAAUACCUCAUAGUAUGUGAGGAUGGCAUCAUUUUCACAGUUAAAGUCACAACGGCAAAAGAUGAGCAUGCGUCCCAUUAGCUAGUUGGUAAGGUAACGGGCUUACCAAGGCUACGAUGGGUAGGGGGUCCUGAGAGGGAGAUCCCCCACACUGGUACUGAGACACGGACCAGACUCCUACGGGAGGCAGCAGUGAGGAAUAUUGGACAAUGGGCGCAAGCCUGAUCCAGCCAUGCCGCGUGCAGGAUGACGGUCCUAUGGAUUGUAAACUGCUUUUGUACAGGAAGAAACACUACUUCGUGAAGUAGCUUGACGGUACUGUAAGAAUAAGGAUCGGCUAACUCCGUG